rnacentral:rRNA from 1 species
UACGGAGGGUGCAAGCAUUAAUCGGAUUUAUUGGGCGUAAAGGGCGCGUAGGCGGCUUUGCAAGUGGCGGGUGAAAUCCCUCGGCUUAACCGAGGAACUGCCUGCCAGACUGUGAGGCUUGAGACCGGGAGAGGUGAGUGGAAUUCCCAGUGUAGCGGUGAAAUGCGCAGAUAUCAAGAGGAACACCUGAGGUGAAGACGGGUUGCUGGGCUGACACUGACGCUGAGGCGCGAAAGCCAGGGGAGCAAACGGG